AAAUGAAUAGACGGGGACCCGCACAAGCGGUGGAGCAUGUGGUUUAAUUCGAUGCAACGCGAAGAACCUUACCUGGUCUUGACAUCUACAGAACUUUCCAGAGAUGGAUGGGUGCCUUCGGGAACUGUAAGACAGGUGCUGCAUGGCUGUCGUCAGCUCGUGUCGUGAGAUGUUCGGUUAAGUCCGGCAACGAGCGCAACCCUUGUCCUUAUUUGCCAGCACGUAAUGGUGGGAACUCUAAGGAGACUGCCGGUGAUAAACCGGAGGAAGGUAGGGACGACGUCAAGUCAUCAUGGCCCUUAUGACCAGGGCUACACACGUGCUACAAUGGUCGGUACAAUGGGUUGCCAAACCGCGAGGUGGAGCUAAUCCCACAAAACCGAUCCCAGUCCGGAUUGUAGUCUGCAACUCGACUACAUGAAGUCGGAAUCGCUAGUAAUCGUGGAUCAGAAUGCCACGGUGAAUACGUUCCCGGGUCUUGUACACACCGCCCGU
rnacentral:rRNA from 1 species